rnacentral:rRNA from 1 species
CCUACGGGAGGCAGCAGUGGGGAAUAUUGGACAAUGGGGGAAACCCUGAUCCAGCAAUGCCGCGUGAGUGAUGAAGGCCUUAGGGUCGUAAAGCUCUUUUACCAGGGAUGAUAAUGACAGUACCUGGAGAAUAAGCUCCGGCUAACUCCGUGCCAGCAGCCGCGGUAAUACGGAGGGAGCUAGCGUUGUUCGGAAUUACUGGGCGUAAAGCGCACGUAGGCGGUUACACAAGUCAGAGGUGAAAGCCCGGGGCUCAACCCCGGAACUGCCUUUGAAACUGGGUGACUGGAAUCUUGGAGAGGCGAGUGGAAUUCCGAGUGUAGAGGUGAAAUUCGUAGAUAUUCGGAAGAACACCAGUGGCGAAGGCGACUCGCUGGACAAGUAUUGACGCUGAGGUGCGAAAGCAUGGGGAGCAAACAGGAUUAGAUACCCUGGUAGUCCACGCCGUAAACGAUGAUAACUAGCUGUCCGGUCACUUGGUGACUGGGUGGCGCAGCUAACGCAUUAAGUUAUCCGCCUGGGGAGUACGGUCGCAAGAUUAAAACUCAAAGGAAUUGACGG